UUUACAACAUUUGUAGAGAUGUCAAAGGACAAGCAGACCCGAUCCGCCCCUUCCCCCACCCCCUCGGAUCUAUCCCUGCAUAGCAACGAGGAGUGGGAGCCAACCCAGGAGGCGGAUACGACCGACCAGGCAUGUAGUGACCAGCCGCGGUCGUCAAGGGCCCAUGAGAAGUCCAAGAAAAAGCCUAGUAGAAAGGCAAGAAGCCAGCCAGAGGAGCAGUCGGAGGAGGAAGCCUCUGGUGAAGAUGCAGGACCGAAAAAGCCGCGUGGACCCAGAUACACUGAGGCGGAAAACUGUACCCUAGUGGAUUGCGUCGACAGGUCCUACGACGUUUUGUAUGGACCAAGGGCACAG